rnacentral:rRNA from 1 species
CGGAAUCGCUAGUAAUCGCAGAUCAGCAUGCUGCGGUGAGUACGUUCCCGGGUCUUGUACACACCGCCCGUCACACCACGAGAGUUUACAACACCCGAAGUCAGUGGCCUAACCGCAAGGAGGGAGCUGCCUAAGGUGGGGUAGAUGAUUGGGGUGAAGUCGUAACAAGGUAUC